GCCUGGGUGGCUCAGUGGUUGAGCGUCUGCCUUCAGUUCAGGCUGUGAUCCCAGGGUCAUGGGAUCGAGUCCCACAUCAGGCU
rnacentral:tRNA from 1 species